UUGUUACCACAGCAGGCCAUGUGUGAAGCAGCUUAUAGAUUAUGUCUGAGGCCCAGGCCUUACUACACAGGAACACAGAACUGAUGGGUAGAUCGAUGGGUGGGAUGGGCAACCCAUAAAAGACCUAGUGACGGUCACAGGGUAAGCACUGAGCAUGGCCCAUAGCACACUCUGGUUCCUCUAGAGUGAGGUCAUGGGAUGGGAUAGGGGUUGGGGGGUCAGUGUCCUACCUUCUUGAGAACUGAGAAAUCACACUUCAUCCCGUUUUUUCCUUUCCCUCAGAAUAUCGACAUCACAAACUUCAGCAGCAGCUGGAACGAUGGGCUGGCUUUCUGCGCACUUCUUCACACCUAUCUCCCAGCCCACAUACCAUAUCAAGAGCUGAACAGCCAAGAGAAGGUGAGCCGAAACCAGGGAUGGUGCCUUGUCGGUGGGCCACUCGUUCCAGCCUUGCCUCACAGUAGCCUGUCCUGGCUCAUUCCCCUGGAUUCCUUGUUUAUACUUCAGCCAGCCAGUCCCGGGUCCACCUAUCGCCCCUGUAACAGCAUUCCUAGUGGGAGUAGUUGGCUCUCUUUGGUUGGCAAUAUUUAGCCUCAAGGGCUUUAAGAAGUCCCAAAGAAAGAUAAUAGUGACAUGAUUGGUCAGGGCAGUCCAGCUAGCCUAGGCAGCCUCCUGUCACCUCAGGACCAGCACUUCUGUUCACAGCCUAUCGUAGUACACCAUGGAACUCAG
rnacentral:lncRNA from 1 species